rnacentral:rRNA from 1 species
UAUACAUGCAAGUCGAACGCUUCUUUUUCCACCGGAGCUUGCUCCACCGGAAAAAGAGGAGUGGCGAACGGGUGAGUAACACGUGGGUAACCUGCCCAUCAGAAGGGGAUAACACUUGGAAACAGGUGCUAAUACCGUAUAACAAUCGAAACCGCAUGGUUUUGAUUUGAAAGGCGCUUUCGGGUGUCGCUGAUGGAUGGACCCGCGGUGCAUUAGCUAGUUGGUGAGGUAACGGCUCACCAAGGCGACGAUGCAUAGCCGACCUGAGAGGGUGAUCGGCCACAUUGGGACUGAGACACGGCCCAAACUCCUACGGGAGGCAGCAGUAGGGAAUCUUCGGCAAUGGACGAAAGUCUGACCGAGCAACGCCGCGUGAGUGAAGAAGGUUUUCGGAUCGUAAAACUCUGUUGUUAGAGAAGAACAAGGAUGAGAGUAACUGUUCAUCCCUUGACGGUAUCUAACCAGAAAGCCACGGCUAACUACGUGCCAGCAGCCGCGGUAAUACGUAGGUGGCAAGCGUUGUCCGGAUUUAUUGGGCGUAAAGCGAGCGCAGGCGGUUUCUUAAGUCUGAUGUGAAAGCCCCCGGCUCAACCGGGGAGGGUCAUUGGAAACUGGGAGACUUGAGUGCAGAAGAGGAGAGUGGAAUUCCAUGUGUAGCGGUGAAAUGCGUAGAUAUAUGGAGGAACACCAGUGGCGAAGGCGGCUCUCUGGUCUGUAACUGACGCUGAGGCUCGAAAGCGUGGGGAGCAAACAGGAUUAGAUACCCUGGUAGUCCACGCCGUAAACGAUGAGUGCUAAGUGUUGGAGGGUUUCCGCCCUUCAGUGCUGCAGCUAACGCAUUAAGCACUCCGCCUGGGGAGUACGACCGCAAGGUUGAAACUCAAAGGAAUUGACGGGGGCCCGCACAAGCGGUGGAGCAUGUGGUUUAAUUCGAAGCAACGCGAAGAACCUUACCAGGUCUUGACAUCCUUUGACCACUCUAGAGAUAGAGCUUCCCCUUCGGGGGCAAAGUGACAGGUGGUGCAUGGUUGUCGUCAGCUCGUGUCGUGAGAUGUUGGGUUAAUUCUCGCAACGAGCGCAACCCUUAUUGUAAUUGCCAUCAUUAGUUGGGCACUCUAGCAGACU